CCUACGGGUGGCAGCAAUUAGGAAUCUUGCGCAAUGGGCGAAAGCCUGACGCAGCGACGCCGCGUGACUGAUGAAGUCUCCCGGGAUGUAAAGGUCUUUUCUGAAGGAAGAAAAAAAUGACGGUACUUCAGGAAUAAGCCCCGGCUAACUACGUGCCAGCAGCCGCGGUAAUACGUAGGGGGCGAGCGUUGUCCGAAUUUACUGGGCGUAAAGCGCGCGUAGGCGGACGAUUAAGUUGGUGGUGAAAGCCCGAGGCUCAACCUCGGAACUGCCUCCAAAACUGUGAGUCUAGAGGGAUGGAGAGGAAAGUGGAAUUCCUGGGGUAGCGGUGAAAUGCGUAGAUAUCAGGAGGAACACCCAUGGCGAAGGCAGCUUUCUGGCCAUAUUCUGACGCUGAGGUGCGAAAGCUAGGGUAGCGAACG
rnacentral:rRNA from 1 species